rnacentral:rRNA from 1 species
GACGAACGCUGGCGGCGUGCUUAACACAUGCAAGUCGAACGGAAAGGCCCUGCUUUUGUGGGGUGCUCGAGUGGCGAACGGGUGAGUAACACGUGAGUAACCUGCCCUUGACUUUGGGAUAACUUCAGGAAACUGGGGCUAAUACCGGAUAGGAGCUCCUGCUGCAUGGUGGGGGUUGGAAAGUUUCGGCGGUUGGGGAUGGAUUCGCGGCUUAUCAGCUGGUUGGUGGGGUAGUGGCUUACCAAGGCUUUGACGGGUAGCCGGCCUGAGAGGGUGACCGGCCACAUUGGGACUGAGAUACGGACCAGACGCCUACGGGCGGCAGCAGUGGGAAAUAUUGCACAAUGGGCGGAAGCCUGAUGCAGCAAUGCCGCGUGCGGGAUGAUGGCUUUCGGGUUGUAAACCGCUUUCGCCUGUGACGAAGAGUGAGUGACGGUAAUGGGUAAAGAAGCACCGGCUAACUACGUG